rnacentral:rRNA from 1 species
AGUUUUUAAUCUGGUUAAUGUAAUAUAUUUGGAAAAGAAUUGUAAUUUGAAAAAUAAUUUAUUAGAAUAAAUUGUAGUAAGUUUUAGUGAAAAAUAUCAUGAUAACUAUAGAAAAUAGUACUGUGAAGGAAGGAUAAAUGAAAAAGCUUAAAGAAUAAAGUAGAAAUUUAGUUUUGUACCUUGUGUAUUAGGGAAAAUUAAUAUUUAAUUAAAUAAUGUAAGUAUCUCGAAAUAAAAAUAGCUAAUUUUAUAAAAAAGUUUUUGUAGUAUAAAAAUUUAUAAUAUAAAAUUAGAAGUGAAAUGUUAAUCGAGUUUUAUAAUAUCUAGUUCUUUAAAAAAUAAAUAUAAUUUAGUUUUUAUAAUGAUAAAAUGUAAGAUAAGAAAAUAGAAGGGGAAAGCUUUUUAUUUAAGUAAUAGUAAAAUAAAAAUUAUGUAUUUUCCUAGGCUUGAGAGUAGCCAUGUUAGUAAAGUGUUUUAACUAAAAAUUUAAUAGAAUAAUAUUUUUAUAUAACUUUAUAUGUAUAUUAGAGAUUUAUUUGAAGUUUAUUAUAAUAAGGUAAAAUGGUUUUAUUAGUAGGAGUAUAUAAUAUUGAAAUAAAAAGUUAAAUAUUAAUUAGAUUAUUUUAAUAGGUAGAUAAUAUAGAGGAAUUCGGCAAAAAUUUUCUUUGCCUGUUUAUCAAAAACAUGUUUGUUUGAAGAUAUAAGUAAUUUGGCCUGCCCCCUGAUCUUAAUAUUAAAGGGCCGCAGUAUUAUAACUGUGCAAAGGUAGCAUAGUCAUUAGGUUUCUAAUUGGAAUCUUGUAUGAAUGGCUGGACAAAAGAGAGACUCUCUUUAUAUUAAUUUUGAAUUUAACUUUUAAGUGAAAAGGCUUAAAUAAUUUAAGGGGACGAUAAGACCCUAUAAAACUUUAUAUUAUAAUUAUGUUUUAUUAAGUUUAAAAAUAAAGAUUUAAUUUAAUUAUUUAUUGUGUUGGGGAGACAUAGGUAAAAUAUCAUUUUAACUGCUUAUAAUUUAUACAAUUAUUUAUGAGUAAAUAGAAGAUCCUUUUUUAAGAUUAAUAAAUUAAGUUACUUUAGGGAUAACAGCGUAAUUUCUUUUGAGAGUUCUUAUCGAUAAAGAAGGUUGCGACCUCGAUGUUGAAUUAAAAAAUCUUUAUAAUGAAGAGGUUAUAUUAGAAGGUCUGUUCGACCUUUAAAUUUUUACAUGAUUUGAGUUCAAACCGGUGUGAGCCAGGUUGGUUUCUAUCUCUUAGAGAUGAGAGGUUAUUUUAGUACGAAAGGAGUAAAUAAUCAAAAUAAUUUUUAGGUU